rnacentral:lncRNA from 1 species
GCCAGGUCUGUCUGCAGGUGUGAGAGCGUAGUCCUGUGCGUGUAUGCCCUUUCCUUGCACGAUCCACUGGUAUGCUCCACUAUUCAGUGAUGCCGUUGUGCACGGAAACUUUUCAUGGGUCUUUGGUUGCAGAAGUGCCCCCAGGGAGGGCCUUGCUGGUUUCUCGGCUCCUUCCUGCGAUGGAGACCAGUUGGAAUCCCAUGGGUCCGCAAAGAGGAAACAGAGGAAAGGAUACACCUAGAAGAGGGAAGUACUACUGGUGGUCAUCCCGUGUCCUAAAGGAACCUGUGAAGAAAAUGGAGAAGGCAGCGCAUGGUGGGACUAAAGGGACUGACCAAGAGACUGUGCAGAAGGAGCCAUUGCAGGAAAGCAGCAGUGACACACGGCCAGUCUCUGAUAGAAAAACACAGGCAGAACAAGCAGCUGGAUUGCCAGGUAAUUUCAGUCCCAUGGUCAUCUGGUGUCACCAACCAGAAUCACUGUGUGCCACCAGGCCCUUCCUGCCCGCUCUUGCGCAGCAGGCCGGCAGCCAAACGUGAGCAGGCUAGUACAGAGCACGUGCUAUAAAGGAACGUGAGGGCGAUGAG